CAUUAAAAUAAAUAAUUCUCUCAUAUAAUAGCGGGGAUAUGGCCUGCAAGUUUCUACCCAAAGACCGAAUAAAUUUUUGGACUAUGAGAGAAAGCGGACCUCAC
rnacentral:ncRNA from 2 species